rfam:Mortierella elongata AG-77 unplaced genomic scaffold K457scaffold_48, whole genome shotgun sequence.
CGCUCCAGUGGUUAUAACUAUAUCGAACAAACAUCAUGCCUUUUACCUGACGUUUUCGAGUUACAGCCAUACACAAUGGAGUUGAUCCUUAUUUUUGGUCCCGCCCCUGGCGGGU